GAGGAAAGUCUGGACUUCAUAAGAGAAGAUACUGGAGAAAUUCCAGGGGCCGUAAGGCUACGGAAAGUGCAACAGAAAACACUCCGCUAUAAAAUUUAUUUUAUAGACAGGCUGAAAAUUCCUACUUUAGGAGUAGGAGCCAUUAAGGUGACUUAAUAGGCAUGCAAACCCUAUCUGAAGCAAGAGAAAAAAGCUUUUUGUGUCUGCAAAUGUGAGAGGAAUUCCUCCCAUAGGCUUUUUCGAAAUCGCUUGAGGGAUCUAGUAAUAGCUCCCCUAGAUGAAUGGUUGCCCUUAGGAUAGUUCGCAAG
rnacentral:misc_RNA from 1 species